GAAAAAUAACAAUUAAUAUCAACAAAAAACAAGUAUCAAAAACACAUUUUAAAUAUUUCCAACCAAUUCCUACAUAAACUGAUUGAUUAAUAAAUAACCCUCAUCAUCAUCACAGAGAUCCCAGUUCCUGCUGGAGUCAGAACAUUUCCAUAGAGUCACUUUGCAUCAGCAGCUCCAUGCUCCAGUGAUCUGGGAGAGUUUAUAGUCCUGAGAGUUGAACACUGGAUGACUGACAGCUGUCCUUCAUCACAACAGAAGACACAGAAAUCCUCCUCAUCAAAAACAUGACUUUGAUCUGCGUCCUCAUCUGGACUCUCCUCUGCUUCACUCAGGGGUCUGAUGGACAAAAUGUUGUUGUGACUCAGUCAGCAGCCAAAUCAGUGCAGCUCGGCCAGACUGUUGCUAUUGACUGUAAGGCCAGUACAAAAGUAGCUUGUGGUACCCCCUGCCUUUCCUGGUAUCACCAGACACCUGGAGAAGCUCCUAAAGCUCUGAUCUACCAAACAUCAUCUAGAUUUUCAGGAAUCUCCUCCAGGUUCAGUGGAAGUGGAGCAGGGAAUGGAUUAGACUUCACUCUGACCAUCAGUGGAGUCCAGGCUGAAGAUGCUGGAGUUUAUUACUGUCAGAGUUAUCAUUACAUCAACAGUCAGUAUGUGUUCACACAGUGAAAAACCAUCGUACAA